UACGGAGGGUGCAAGCGUUAUCCGGAUUUAUUGGGUUUAAAGGGUCCGUAGGCGGACGUUUAAGUCAGCGGUGAAAGCCCUCUGCUCAACAGAGGAACUGCCGUUGAUACUGAUCGUCUUGAGUACAAGUGAGGUUGGCGGAAUGUGUGGUGUAGCGGUGAAAUGCUUAGAUAUCAGGAGGAACACCGAUGGCGAAGGCAGUUCUCUGGGCCGUAACUGACGCUGAGGAGCGAAAGCGUGGGGAGCGAACAGG
rnacentral:rRNA from 1 species